rnacentral:rRNA from 1 species
AUUGAACGCUGGCGGCAGGCCUAACACAUGCAAGUCGAGCGAGCGGCGGACGGGUGAGUAAUGUAUGGGGAUCUGCCAGAUAGAGGGGGAUAACUACUGGAAACGGUGGCUAAUACCGCAUACUAUCGGAUGAACCCAAGUGGGAUUAGGUAGUUGGUGAGGUAAAGGCUCACCAAGCCGACGAUCUCUAGCUGGUCUGAGAGGAUGACCAGCCACACUGGAACUGAGACACGGCCCAGACUCCUACGGGAGGCAGCAGUGGGGAAUAUUGCGCAAUGGGGGCAAGCCUGACGCAGCCAUGCCGCGUGAGUGAAGAAGGCCUUCGGGUUGUAAAGUUCUUUCGGCAGCGAGGCGUUAAUUACAGAAGAAGCACCGGCUAACUCCGUGCCAGCAGCCGCGGUAAUUC